UUGCCCGAUGAUUAUAAAAAGAUGCACUAUUAAGAGGACUUAAGCUGGAAUUCUUCUUUUCUCUCUUUUCUGUACCUUUUUUCUUUCUUUGGAUAUCCAGUGUCCUAUGAGUGAAGAUUAUGAGAUAUGAGGGCAA
rnacentral:snoRNA from 1 species